GACGAACGCUGGCGGCGUGCUUAACACAUGCAAGUCGAACGAAGAGCGAUGGAAGCUUGCUUCUCUCAAUCUUAGUGGCGAACGGGUGAGUAACGCGUAAUCAACCCGCCCUUCAGAGGGGGACAACAGUUGGAAACGACUGCUAAUACCGCAUACGAUCUAAUCUCGGCAUCGAGGAUAGAUGAAAGGUGGCCUCUACAUGUAAGCUAUCACUGAAGGAGGGGAUUGCGUCUGAUUAGCUAGUUGGAGGGGUAACGGCCCACCAAGGCGAUGAUCAGUAGCCGGUCUGAGAGGAUGAACGGCCACAUUGGGACUGAGACACGGCCCAGACUCCUACGGGAGGCAGCAGUGGGGAAUCUUCCGCAAUGGACGAAAGUCUGACGGAGCAACGCCGCGUGAGUGAUGACGGCCUUCGGGUUGUAAAGCUCUGUUAAUCGGGACGAAAGGCCUUCUUGCGAACAGUUAGAAGGAUUGACGGUACCGGAAUAGAAAGCCACGGCUAACUACGUG
rnacentral:rRNA from 1 species